AACUUUGGACAAUGGGGGAAACCCUGAUCCAGCCAUCCCGCGUUUGCGAUGAAGGCCUUCGGGUUGUAAAGCACUUUUGGCAGGAAAGAAACGUUCCGGGUUAAUACCCCGGGAAACUGACCGUACCUGCAGAAUACGCUCCGGCUAACUACGUGCCAGCAGCCGCGGUAAUACGUAGGGUGCAAGCGUUAAUCGGAAUUACCGGGCGUAAAGCGUGCGCAGGCGGUUCGGAAAGAAAGAUGUGAAAUCCCAGAGCUUAACUUUGGAACUGCAUUUUUAACUACCGAGCUAGAGUGUGUCAGAGGGAGGUGGAAUUCCGCGUGUAGCAGUGAAAUGCGUAGAUAUGCGGAGGAACACCGAUGGCGAAGGCAGCCUCCUGGGAUAACACUGACGCUCAUGCACGAAAGCGUGGGGAGCAAACAG
rnacentral:rRNA from 1 species